GAAAUAAUGUCAACUUAAACCUUCCCUCCCCUAGGGAGCUCUCCCUAACAAUCCGGGCUGGAAAGAGUGUGUUCCUUUAGGAAACAGAGCAUGUAUUACCCAUUGAGAAUCCAUUAUUACUUUGAAUUUUUAGUUUUGUUUUCAUGUGUUGCUUUAUCUUCUUAAUUAAAUUAUCUCUUCUAGGGAGAGGACAUCUUACUCUUAUUGGAUCAUGCACAGUGCCUGAAGCAUUCUGUUGCAUGUAGAAAUCAGUAAAUUGCAGAUGUAAGAUUCAAAACCAGACUUCACAUCUACCGACUUCAGUGACCCUGAAAUUUGUUCACAGAGAGCAUUUAACAUAACUGUCUUCAUCAUCUCCUUCUCUACAUUAAAAAUUAUGGAGGCCUUACAAACUGGUAGAAGAUGCAUAACAGAAGAGCUUAUGAAGUUAAAGAUGACAGCAUAGCAGCACUGGUGAGAUCCUUUUAGACAUAACAUGGUAGGAAGGACUGUUUGACAAAGUGAAUGCCUGUCUUUCAGAAAAUACAGGGAGGUGUGAUGUACCCAUUAUCACAAGCAGAUGGAAUGCCUAUAGAGUCGGAUCUCAUCUACAUAUCACCUAUUAUAUGUAGUUAUUGAUGGAUAAAUACUUCAACAGCUAAAGGCAGGAAGAGAGCAGUUCACACAGACGUUAUUGGUGAUUCACUCUUGAGUCAUGAAAAGUCAACCUUGAGCCACAGAAAGUCAACCUUGAGCCAUGCAGAGUGGAGAGUCAUACAU
rnacentral:lncRNA from 1 species